rnacentral:rRNA from 1 species
CCUACGGGAGGCAGCAGUGGGGGAUAUUGCACAAUGGGGGGAACCCUGAUGCAGCGACGCCGCGUGGGUGAAGGAGCGUUUCGGCGCGUAAAGCCCUAUCGGCAGGGAAGAAGAUGACGGUACUGGACCAAGAAGCCCCGGCUAAAUACGUGCCAGCAGCCGCGGUAAUACGUAGGGGGCAAGCGUUAUCCGGAUUUACUGGGUGUAAAGGGGGCGCAGACGGCAAUGCAAGCCAGGAGUGAAAGCCCGGGGCCCAACCCCGGGACUGCACUUGAAACUGCAUGGUUGGAGUAAAGGAGGGGCAGGCGGAAUUCCUAGUGUAGCGGUGAAAUGCGUAGAUAUUAGGAGGAACACCGGUGGCGAAGGCGGCCUGCUGGACUGUGACUGACGUUGAGGCCCGAAGGCGUGGGGAGCAAACGGGAUUAGAUACCCUUGUAGUC